rnacentral:rRNA from 4 species
CAACGCGACCCCAGGUCAGGC